CUAAAAGCAAUGAUAAGGACAUGAGUAUUUCUAAACGGUUUACAGAGAGGGAAGGCUAGGCUGGGAACUUCCUAAUACGAUAGAAUUGCUUACCACCUUGGAGCAGUAUUGGUGAAAUACUAGUAAUCAAUACCGUGAAAGCUACGAUACAGCUUAAACGAAGCCAUCAUGAUGUAAGUAAUUAGAUGGAAAGUUGGGUGGAACCACGGGUAUAGACACACUCGUCCCUUUU
rnacentral:ncRNA from 1 species